CUUCGCGCCCACGCCCCUGGGAGGCUCGCCCUGCCCACCCCUCGCCCCCGCAGAACUCCACCCUCCCCCACCCCGGAGCCGCCUGGUUCCUCCUCCGCAGAACCCGCCUCCACUCACUCCUCCUCCGCCUCCAGCGCCACCUCGUAUCUCCUCAUUCCCGACAUGUCCUGGGCUCCGAACGUCUCCUGGGGAGCGGCAUGAUUGAAUCAGGGAUUCCCUAGCCCCAGGUCCCCUUCUCCGUCAUUCUCAGGACGAGGCUGCCCAGUUCUCAGGUAAUCUGAGGCUGAUGCCCCCGAGAAGCCUCAGUUGCCACCACGGGACAGGGUGGGCUUGGAGAUUUGGGAGGCACUGGAAGUUAAGGGGUGAGGAGGCCGGUCAUCUCCGGGGCCUGGGGCAUUUAGGGGGCCAGGGCGAGAGGUUUGGCGGUCAUGGGGCUGGGAGAUUUGGGGCCCUGGGUGAGGAUUUUCAGGGGCUGGGGUCACCUGGAGGGGGGGCUGAGAGGGGUCAGCGCAGCCUAAACUCCCGCCCUCCCUGGCUCCACCCCGGAAACGGACCGUUACUAUUACGUCACAGGGAUGCCGUUGCGCACUAGGUUUGCCUGUCCCCCGGAAGGGGUGGGGUGUUCAUGUCUCCCAGAGGAGGCGGAGUCGAAACGUCAUCUUACGGGGUGAGGCCAGGGGCGGGGUCGGUUGAUUAAGAUGCGGGCAAAGGACCCUCUUUUAUAGGUGUCAGGUCAGGUUUUGGAGCUACACCUUGGGGGGCCGAGGCUUCCGCAGCAGGCAGCAAGAAAAGAGAGUUGGGACUAAGUCCAGUACUGUUUUCUUAAUCCCCACGUCUCCUCUACCCCUCCCUGGGCUUCUGCCCUGCCGAGUGCCUCUCUUGCCUGCCUUCCUCCCCUUGUAUGACCCUGGGCCGAGGAGGAAUAGGUCCUCAGAUAGAGUCCAGUCUAGAAAAGGCCAGGCUACGGAAAUACCUAGUUGAGUGGCCUCGGCUAAGUCACUGAAUGGCCGGAGGGUCAUUGCCCUUCCUCUCUGGUCUGAGACCUAUCUUCUUGUGAUUUUUUUUUUUUUUUUUUGCUACAUUCAUUCAAUCAACAAAUAUUUGCUGAAUGACCACCUGUGUGUCAGGCACUGUGCUGGGCAUGGGGAUGUAGUAGUAAAGAAGACAGGUGGCCGGGCACGGUGGCUCACGCCUUUAAUCCCAGCACUUUGGGAGGCCGAGGUGGGUGGAUCACGAGUUCAGGAGUUCAAGACCAGCCUGGCCAAGAUGGUGAAACCCCGUCUCUACUAAAAAUACAAAAGUUAGCCGGGCGUGGUGGCAGGCGCCUGUAAUCCCAGCUACUCGGGAGGCUGAGGCAGAGAAUUGCUUGAAACUGGGAGGCGGAGGUUGCUGUGAGCUGAGAUCGCACCACUGCACUCCAGCCUGGGUGACAGAGUGAGACUCCGUCUCAAACAAAACAAAACAAAACAACCAACAAACAAGACAGGCACCUUGUCUGCCCUCUGAGAGGUAGGGGUAGAGCUGGGAGGAUCAAAAGAGAAUAGUGAGAUUCUUACUAUAAAUGGAGCAGGCUGGCUGGAAGAAGUAGAAGGUGUCAAGAAAGGGCAAUCAACCCAGUGUGGGAGGUUGGAAAUAGCUGCCCCAGAGCUCUGACAUCCCAGUCAAGGCCCAGUACUGAGCUGUAGUCGGUUUGAGUAAGGGGAAAGACAGUUUUGGGGCUGGGCUGACUGUAUAGGAGGGAGUGACCAGAAAUAAGUGGGGUGAAAGUUUCCUCUGGUUGAAAUGUGAGGAAUGGAUACCCCUCUUCUCUCCCUCAUCCCACCCUCUUUCUCCCUCUCAUUCUUGUCUUCCCUUGUCUGAGCCACAUACAGAGAGCAGACAGAGAGAUCCAUGGGUGCUAGGUGGUUUUAUUGGAAGCACUGCAGUCUGGGAGUUCAGAAGCUAUGCUUUCACCACGUUCACCCUUUCACUCACAUUCACACUCAUGUUGACACUCCAGGCCUGGCUGGGUCAGGUCUGGUGCCGAGGAACUAGAGGCCUGGUCUUCCCUUCUGGUCCUUGGUUCCCCAGGCCAGGGCUGUCUCUGGCACUGUCAUGGGCUAACUGCUGUGGCUCUUGCUCUGGGAAAGGAAGGAGAGGAAGGGCCAUGGGCUGUAAUCUUAGACAGGGCUCAGAGGGGGCAGACAGGACUGGGGAGGGCCAGGCUUUCCUUGGCAGAGGUCUUCCGCAGUCUCCAGUUUGUGCAAUCCAUCCAGGGCUGGUCUAGAGGCUGCCUUUCAGUGUGGUGAAUCUGGAGUCAGAGAGAAUGGAGCCAUAGAACUCAUCUUCCUGAAAGGCCCUGGUGUGAGGGGCAGAUGCUGGGGACCAGAUCUGGGAACCUGUUUUAGGGGCUUCCUUGUGGGAGGGAUUGGGCAAGGAGAAGUGAAGGAAGUAACAUGGUGAAUGGAGACCUGGAUGAUGGAGGAAGUGAUUGGGAGGGGAGGAGACUGGACAUUCUCCACCCCGACUCAUAGGACAAAGUGCCCUGCAGCCAUCCCUGAAGAGGAGGUAGCAGAAGGCACCAAAAAUGUUCCCAGGAAUUGGGUGUUGAUUUGCUAAGAGGCAGAGUCCCCAGAGUUGUUGGUAUCUCCCAGAGCUAGGGAGUGAGUAUUAGCUUUAGGGCUUAAGAUGGGAAGGCCAUAGCCCUGACUGGAACUUGGGAUAUCUGUGUCCAGAGCUUUAGUGUUGCUCUCUACUCCACCCACAUGCACUGUUCUCUUCUUCCUCUGGGAAGUCCAGGCUAGAGAGACAGAGCCUAUAAAGAGAAGAGCAGCCAGAGGCUCCAGGACCCAUCCAGGCACUGAUACAUACAGGAACAGCUGGGGUACAGGCACAUCUACAUCACACAGGUGCACACAAAGGGCAUAGGCAUACCCACACCACACAGGCACACACAUAGACUGCAAAGGAAUACACACAAUGCACAGGUAUACCCAUGUCACACAGGACGUAAAGUCAUCACAAGGGCACACCCAUUUGGCAUAUGUACAGUCUCAGGUGCAUAUCAGUCUCAGAACCUGGAUGUUGAUAUUGUGAAAGGAGAAUAAAUCUCAGAACCCCCAAAUCAUUCAACCAAGGGGAAAGUCAAGCUGGGAAUUGUGUCAGGCAAACCUGCCUCUUGUUUUAUUCCUAAAAGAGAUAGCUACAAAGAAAAAGCUACAUACCUCCCUCACAAUUUGUCCACAGGGAAAUUCCUUAUGGGCCUCAAGAUCUUUACCUUAAAACAGUUGUGCUGAAUUUCACCCUGGCAAUGUAAACUGAUAGCUUAUCUUCACAGGUGCAGGACAAUAGACAGAACUCAAAGUCAUCCCUCUGCUCACCUGAGACAAAUGUGUAUCUGAUUGCUGCUUCUGCCCUAUUGUUUAUGCAAAAAUGCAGAUCCACUGAGCCAGACUAAGGCAUCAGUGUGACUAUUCCUUUACUCCCCACUCCAUGUAAAUUGUGUAUUCAGUGAAAGGCUGAUCAAAGACCCCAAAAAAUGCAGCCUUUUGUCUCUUAUCUACCUAUGACCUGGAAGCCCCCACUUCGAGUUGUCCCGCCUUUCCAGACUGAACCAGUGUACACCUUACACGUAUUGAUUGAUGUCUCAUGUCUCCCCAAAAUGUAUAAAACCAAGCUGUGCACCGACCACCUUUAGCAUGUGUUGUCAGAACCUCCUGAGGCUGUAUCAUGUCAUGAGUGUGUGCUCAACCUUGGCAAAAUAAACUUUCUAAAUUGAUUGAG
rnacentral:lncRNA from 10 species